GACGAACGCUGGCGGCGUGCCUAAUACAUGCAAGUUGAGCGCUGAAGGUUGGUACUUGUACCAACUGGAUGAGCAGCGAACGGGUGAGUAACGCGUGGGGAAUCUGCCUUUGAGCGGGGGACAACAUUUGGAAACGAAUGCUAAUACCGCAUAAAAACUUUAAACACAAGUUUUAAGUUUGAAAGAUGCAAUUGCAUCACUCAAAGAUGAUCCCGCGUUGUAUUAGCUAGUUGGUGAGGUAAAGGCUCACCAAGGCGAUGAUACAUAGCCGACCUGAGAGGGUGAGCGGCCACAUUGGGACUGAGACACGGCCCAAACUCCUACGGGAGGCAGCAGUAGGGAAUCUUCGGCAAUGGACGAAAGUCUGACCGAGCAACGCCGCGUGAGUGAAGAAGGUUUUCGGAUCGUAAAACUCUGUUGGUAGAGAAGAACGUUGGUGAGAGUGGAAAGCUCAUCAAGUGACGGUAACUACCCGGAAAGGGACGGCUAACUACGUG
rnacentral:rRNA from 1 species